CCUACGGGUGGCAGCAGUCGAGAAUCAUUCACAAUGGGGGAAACCCUGAUGGUGCGACGCCGCGUGGGGGAAUGAAGGUCUUCGGAUUGUAAACCCCUGUCAUGUGGGAGCAAAUUAAAAAGAUAGUACCACAAGAGGAAGAGACGGCUAACUCGGUGCCAGCAGCCGCGGUACUACAGAGGUCUCAAGGGGUGUUCGGAAUCACUGGGCGUAAAGCGUGCGUAGGCUGUUUCGUAAGUCGUGUGUGAAAGGCGCGGGCUCAACCCGCGGAUGGCACAUGAUACUGCGAGACUAGAGUAAUGGAGGGGGAACCGGAAUUCUCGGUGUAGCAGUGAAAUGCGUAGAUAUCGAGAGGAACACUCGUGGCGAAGGUGGGUUCCUGGACAUUAACUGACGCUGAGGCACGAAGGCCAGGGGAGCGAAAGGGAUUAGAUACCCCUGUAGUC
rnacentral:rRNA from 1 species